CCCGCGCUCCUCCGGGCAGAGCGCGUGUGGCGGCCGAGCACAUGGGCCCGCGGGCCGGGCGGGCUCGGGGCGGCCGGGACGAGGAGGGGCGACGACGAGCUGCGAGCAAAGAUGUGCCCCGGGACCCCCGGCACCUUCCAGUGGAUUUCCUUGCGGAAAGGAUGUUGGCGGUCCCUGUGACCUGUGGAGACACGGCCAGAUCUGCCCUCCAGCCUGAUCUUUUGGCCAGAAGGAGAUUAAAAAGAUGCCCCUCAAGAUGGCUGUGCCUGUCAGCUGCAUGGAGCUUCGUUCAAGUAUUUUCUGAGCCUGAUGGAUUUACAGUGAUCUUCAGUGGUCUGGGGAAUAACGCUGGUGGAACCAUGCACUGGAAUGACACACGCCCGGCACAUUUCAGGAUACUAAAAGUGGUUUUAAGGGAGGCUGUGGCUGAAUGCCUCAUGGAUUCUUACAGCUUGGAUGUCCAUGGGGGACGAAGGACUGCAGCUGGCUGAGAGGGUUGAGAUCUCUGUUUACUUAGAUCUCUGCCAACUUCCUUUGGGUCUCCCUAUGGAAUGUAAGACCCCGACUCUUCCUGGUGAAGCAUCUGAUGCACGUUCCAUCCGGCGCUCAGCUGGGCUUGAGCUGACCAUACUCCCUGGAGCCUUCUCCCGAGGUGCGCGGGUGACCUUGGCACAUACAGCCAUCAUGAUGGUACUUUAAGUGGAGGCUGAAUCAUCUCCCCUUUGAGCUGCUUGGCACGUGGCUCCCUUGGUGUUCCCCUUUUACUGCCAGGACACUGAGAUUUGGAGAGAGUCUCACUCUGUGGUCCAGGCUGAAGUACAGUGGCAUGAUCCCAGGUCACUGCAACCCCCACCUCCCGGGUUCAAGUGAUCCUCCUGCCUCAGCCUCCCGAGUAGCUGGUAUUACAGGCGUGUGCCACAAAGCCUGGCUAAGUUUUGUAUUUUUAGUAGAGACGGGGUUUCACCAUGUUGGCCAGGUUGGUCUCGAACUCCUGACCUCAAGUGAUCCACUCACUUUGGCCUUUCAACGUGCUGGGAUUACAGGCGAGAGUCACCGCACCCGGACGACUCUGACAUUUUUGAAGAGUCCAGAAUCCUGUUACACCUGGGAUUUAGGCACUUUCAAUCUGAAAAAAUACAUAUCCUUUCAGCACUCUGGACGGACUUGAGAACUGUCCUUACGUGACCUAAAGCUGGAGUAUUUUGAGAUUGGAGAAUUAAGAGCCAGUCUUGGUGCUCUGUGUUCACCUGGUUCAUCUGAGGAGCUGCAUCUACCCUGCCCAUGCCAUAGAUCCUGCCCUGUUUGCUUCUCCUGUUGCUGCUAGUGGACAUGAGAAGGACAGAAUAACGGGCUCCCAGAUUCACAAGCCCCACCAAGAGGAUCACCCCAGGAACGCUUGGAGGCUGAGGAGUUCACUGAGGCUACUGCAUCUUGAGACUCAGGAUGAAGACCCAGCUUGGGGCUGUCAAAGAGGCCUGAAGAGGCAGAACACCCCAGAGGAGCCUGGGGCCACCACCCAGCAUCACUGUGGGAAAACGGCAGCAGGAAAUGUCCUCUCGCCUGCGUGCUCCACCUCGGUCCACGCCUUCCCUCCUUCUGGAAGCCUUGCCUGACCACUGGCCUGCCCCUUCUAUGGGAAUCACUACUGACCUUGCAGCUUAUUAUAGACUUAUAUGUUUUUUGCAUGUCUGACACCCAUGACUCCACCUGGACCUUAUGGCUCCACCCAGAAGCAAUUCAGCCCAACAGGAGGACAGCUUCAACCCAUUACGAUUUCAUCUCUGCCCCAACCACUCAGCAGCAAGCACCUGUUACCUGUCCACCCCCACCCCUUCCCCCAAACUGCCUUUGAAAAAUCCCUAACCUAUGAGCUUUGAAUAAGAUGAGUACGAACUUCAUCGCCCACGUGGCGUGGCCGGCCUCGUGUCUAUUAAAUUCUUUUUCUACUACAA
rnacentral:lncRNA from 1 species